rnacentral:rRNA from 1 species
GAGUUUGAUCCUGGCUCAGAACGAACGCUGGCGGCGUGCCUAACACAUGCAAGUCGAACGUGAUCCAGAGCUUGCUCUGGUGAAAGUGGCGCACGGGUGAGUAACGCGUGGAUAACCUACCCUGGUAUCCGGGAUAACAUUCCGAAAGGGGUGCUAAUACCGGAUAAGCCCACGGGCUCUUUGGAGCUUGCGGGAAAAGGUGGCCUCUAUUUAUAAGCUACUGUAUCAGGAUGGGUCCGCGUACCAUUAGCUAGUUGGCGGUGUAACGGACCACCAAGGCGACGAUGGUUAGCUGGUCUGAGAGGAUGAUCAGCCACACUGGAACUGAGACACGGUCCAGACUCCUACGGGAGGCAGCAGUGGGGAAUUUUGCGCAAUGGGGGAAACCCUGACGCAGCAACGCCGCGUGAGUGAUGAAGGCCUUUGGGUCGUAAAGCUCUGUCAGAGGGGAAGAAAUGAUAUAGCGCUAAUACCACUUUAUCUUGACGGUACCCUCAAAGGAAGCACCGGCUAACUCCGUGCCAGCAGCCGCGGUAAUAC